AUUGAACGCUGGCGGCAGGCCUAACACAUGCAAGUCGAGCGGAUGAAGGGAGCUUGUGCCUGGAUUCAGUGGCGGACGGGUGAGUAAUUCCUAGGAAUCUGCCUGGUAGUGGGGGAUAACGUCCGGACACGGGCGCUAAUAUCGCAUACGUCCUGAGGGUGAACGUGGUGGAUCUUUGGACCUCACGCUAUCUGAUGACCCUAGGCCGGAUUAGCUAGUUGGUGGGGUAAAGGCCUACCAAGGCGACGAUCCGUAACUGGUCUGAGAGGAUGAUCAGUCACACUGGAACUGAGACACGGUCCAGACUCCUACGGGAGGCAGCAGUGGGGAAUAUUGGGCAAUGGGCGAAAGCCUGAUCGAGCCAUGCCGCGUGUGUGAUGAAGGUCUUCGGAUUGUAAAGCACUGUUAGUUGGGAAGAAGAGCAGUAAGUUAAUACCUUGCUGUUUUGACGGUACCAACAGAGUAAGCACCGGCUAACUUCGUG
rnacentral:rRNA from 1 species